AGUGAACGCUGGCGGUAGGCCUAACACAUGCAAGUCGAACGGCAGCACAGUAAGAGCUUGCUCUUACGGGUGGCGAGUGGCGGACGGGUGAGGAAUACAUCGGAAUCUACUUUUUCGUGGGGGAUAACGUAGGGAAACUUACGCUAAUACCGCAUACGACCUACGGGUGAAAGCAGGGGAUCUUCGGACCUUGCGCGAUUGAAUGAGCCGAUGUCGGAUUAGCUAGUUGGCGGGGUAAAGGCCCACCAAGGCGACGAUCCGUAGCUGGUCUGAGAGGAGGAUAGGCCACACUGGAACUGGGACACGGUCCAGACUCCUACGGGAGGCAGCAGUGGGGAAUAUUGGACAAUGGGCGCAAGCCUGGUCCAGCCAUACCGAGUGGGUGAAGAAGGCCUUCGGGUUGUAAAGCCCUUUUGUUGGGAAAGAAAAGCAGCAGGUUAAUACCCCGCUGUUCUGACGGUACCCAAAGAAUAAGCACCGGCUAACUUCGUG
rnacentral:rRNA from 1 species